UUUAAAUAGCUGCAGUAUUUUAACUGUACAAAGGUAGCAUAGUAAUUAGUCUUUUAAUUGAGGUCUUGAAUGAAUGGUUUAACAAGAAAAUCACUUUAUUAUGUUAAUUUAAUAAAUUUUAUUUUUUAGUUAAAAAGCUAAAAUUUUUAAAUGGGACGAUAAGACCCUUUAGAUCUUUAAAUUUUUAUUAAUACACAAAUUUUAGUUGAAUUAAUUUUUUUUUUAUAAAAAUUUUUUGUUGGGGUGACAUACAAAAUUUUUAAACUUUGUGAAAUUUCUACAUAUAUAAAUGAUUUACUUGAACCUAAAUUUUAGGUUACUAAAAUAAGAUACCUCAGGGAUAACAGCGUAAUAAAUUUGUAUAGUUCAUAUAGAUAAAUUUGUUUACGACCUCGAUGUUGAAUUAAUUUUAAACUUUGGAGCAGAAUAUAAAAUUUUAGGUCUGUUCGACCUUUAAAAAAUUACA
rnacentral:rRNA from 1 species